rnacentral:rRNA from 1 species
UAAGACAGAGGUGGCUAGCGUUGUUCGGAUUCAUUGGGUGUAAAGGGUGCGUAGGCGGUUUAGAAAGUCAGAUGUGAAAUCCCACAGCUCAACUGUGGAACUGCAUCUGAAACUUCUGAACUUGAGUGCGAGAGAGGUAAAGGGAAUUCCCGGUGUAAGGGUGAAAUCUGCAGAGAUCGGGAGGAACACCAGUAGCGAAGGCGCUUUACUGGCUCGUAACUGACGCUGAGUGCACGAAGGCGUGGGGAGCAAACGGGAUUAGAUACCCCGGUAGUCCACGCAGUAAACGAUGUUCACUAGGUGUCGGUCUCGUUAAAUCGGGGUCGGUGCCGCAGCUAACGCAUUAAGUGAACCACCUGGGGAGUACAGUCGCAAGGCUG